rnacentral:misc_RNA from 1 species
AAAAUUCACGCAUUUAUAUAAUGAAUUUAUAUGCACAAGGUCUAGGCGAGUCUUUAUUGUGUUGAAUAAUGAGGUCUUAUUUUCAACCUCAAACAGAAUCAAAUAAAAAAAAAAUUAACAAACACACCCGAAAGAGAAACAAAAUUUUCAUUUCACAAUAUCACACAACCUCAACUGCUGUACAAUGCAUAUUAGGCAACAUCUCUAGCAAAUCCACCGUUAACAUGGACGCCUUGGGCUUUGAGACCCGGCCGGAACGUCCCGUUGAAAAGGCAGGCUUCACCGUUGUUCUUUCACAGUUGCCCAGCCAUUUUGCUUGCAUGUAUCUUUGUUUUCUCCAUGGCCCCAAGUGCAUUUUCUUUUCUUUCAUGCACUUCUUAGCUGCCGAGCAUAAGAUCUUUAUUACUGUGUUUAAUCUUUCGCUUUUUCCCACGAACAACUCCGGUAAUCGUCUGACUAGCCGAUUGUACUCUUCGUUUGCUUUUGCCAUCUCGAACUCAGCCUGGAAAUUUAAUUCAAUUAUCACCCUCACCUCCCCUUUUUUAGAAUUUGAAUUGUCUAUUACAUCCAAAAACGUGUGUUCCCCUGAUGGGAUAUCUGGAGAACUUCUCCAUUUAGAUUUGCAAAUGGCACUAUUAUAGCCUGCAUUUCGGAGGCGGCCUGAGAUUUCUGUCAUCAAACAUUUCCGGCAGCCACCUACCAUUGAUCUUCCACAACCACAGAUUGUUCCUGCCAUCUGAAUUUCCUUUAUUGCUUCUUUAGUAACAUUUCUAAUCCCUGAUUCCAAGGAGCUAGUCCUGCAUAAGCUAGCCUGGACACAACCGUAUAAUUACGCCGGGUGUUAUUGGGUUCAGUAGUCGACAAAAUAUUUAGUAAAAGUGAAUUAUGGGAAUGAAUUAAUUACUUACUUGUAGAAGCUGGUGUUGUUUCUCCCAAAAGUUCUUGUCCUCUUCAACACUUCCAUUUUCUGAUCUCUCUUCAUCUUCUGCAUCUAAUGCUUCAUUUUCCCGACACUCCUCGCUGCUAGUACCUCCCUGCAAUGAUUCUUCAUGACUAUCCUCAAGAAACCCGAAAAUCAUAUCGGAGAAAUUCGCCGCCAGUUGGUCAUGAAACUGUAGUUCAUAACCAUCGCCGGCGAAAUUCUGUUGAUAAAUUGGGAUUCUAAUUCUUGCACUAGGCAUGGUUUUGUUUUUGUUCGAAUUAGCUGCUUCGUUCAAG